CCUACGGGAGGCAGCAGUGAGGAAUAUUGGUCAAUGGACGAGAGUCUGAACCAGCCAAGUAGCGUGAAGGAUGACUGCCCUAUGGGUUGUAAACUUCUUUUAUAUGGGAAUAAAAUGUUCCACGUGUGGGAUUUUGUAUGUACCAUAUGAAUAAGGAUCGGCUAACUCCGUGCCAGCAGCCGCGGUAAUACGGAGGAUCCGAGCGUUAGCCGGAUUUAUUGGGUUUAAGGGGCGUGGAGGUGGAUUGUUAAGUCCGUUGUGAAAGUUAGGGGCUCAACCGUAAAAUUGCAGUUGAAACUGGCAGUCUGGAGUACAGUAGAGGUGGGCGGAAUUCGUGGUGUAGCGGUGAAAUGCUUAGAGAUCACGAAGAACUCCGAUUGCGAAGGCAGCUCACUGGACUGCAACUGACACUGAGGCACGAAAGUGAGGGUAUCAAACAGGAUUAGAUACCCCAGUAGUC
rnacentral:rRNA from 1 species